rnacentral:rRNA from 1 species
GACGAACGCUGGCGGCGUGCUUAACACAUGCAAGUCGAACGGAAAGGCCCUGCUUUUGUGGGGUGCUCGAGUGGCGAACGGGUGAGUAACACGUGAGUAACCUGCCCUUGACGUUGGGAUAACUACAGGAAACUGGGGCUAAUACCGGAUAGGAGCUCCUGCUGCAUGGUGGGGGUUGGAAAGUUUCGGCGGUUGGGGAUGGACUCGCGGCUUAUCAGCAUGUUGGUGGGGUAGUGGCUUACCAAGGCUUUGACGGGUAGCCGGCCUGAGAGGGUGACCGGCCACAUUGGGACUGAGAUCCGGCCCAGACUCCUACGGGAGGCAGCAGUGGGGAAUAUUGCACAAUGGGCGGAAGCCUGAUGCAGCAACGCCGCGUGCGGGAUGACGGCCUUCGGGUUGUACCCCGCUUUCGCCUGUGACGAAGCGUGAGUGACGGUAAUGGGUAAAGAAGCACCGGCUAACUACGUG